rnacentral:lncRNA from 1 species
GCCGCUGGGGCGGGCGGGGCAGGGGCAGGGCCGGGCGUAGAGCGGAGCCUUGUGGGCGCGGCGCGCAGGCGCUGCCCUCUGAACUGGAACGGAAAGCGACUUCCGGUUGCAGUCACCCGGCCGGGCCGGCGACCUGUGGUGUGAGCUUGGCCGAGUCCCUGAGCUAUCUGUCAUUUACUCCAUCCUUUAUAGUGAUGCUACAGGACAAAGAGGAAUGGAUAAAAACAUUGGUGAACAACUCAAUAAAGCAUAUGAAGCCUUCCGACAGGCAUGCAUGGAUAGAGAUACUGCAGUAAAAGAAUUACAGCAAAAGACUGAGAACUAUGAGCAGAAAAUACGUGAGCAACAGGAACAGCUGUCACUUCAACAAACUAUUAUUGACAAGCUAAAAUCACAGUUACUUCUUGUACAUUCCAGUCGAGAUAGCGGUUAUGGCUGUGUUCCUCUGCUUGACGAUGGUGAAACCAAAGAAAAUCAUCUGACUCUUGACCAGCCACAUGAUAAAGUGAAAUCAGGAAUAUCAAAAGACAAGCAAUCAAAGGUAGACCGUACUGCCAUGUUCAUUCCCUAAAGGAAAUAAGAAAAAGUUAGGUUUCCUGGCUUUCCAACCUACUCAGUCAGUGUACCCUCACGGUUUUGGUAGACAGAGCACGGGUAGAAACUAGACAAGAUUUUCUCCCACCCUCAUGUUGGUUCUACAGAAAAGAGUACUUUAAUGCUGGUACAUGAUACAUCUUCCUUGUUUUAAUUUCCUGAGGUGAUAACAGCACUGGAAUUCUAAAACUAAGAAAUUCUGUAUAUGCAGACAUAUGACAUAUAGGCUCCUAAGUAGAAUUAUUUUCAAGGGAGAAAAAGGGCUUAGGUUUCAGAUUUCUGGGGUUUUUUCCCCCCUAUUAUCACAAGCAUUUAACAAAGAAGUAAAAGACCUAAAAUAAAUAAAAUUUAAGCUAAAUAGUAUGACACUAAUGUUAUGCUAGAGAACGACUAUUUUAUGUUUAAUUUCAUAUGUUUAGUUAAAAGAUUCCACCUAGCUGGGCAUGGCGGUACGUGCUUAUUAUCCCAGCACUGGAGGC